rnacentral:rRNA from 1 species
CACGCCGUAAACGAUGGAUACUAGGUGUAGGAGGGUCCAACCUUCUGUGCCGCCGUUAACACAUUAAGUAUCCCGCCUGGGGAGUNCAACGCGAAGAACCUUACCUAAACUUGACAUCUCCUGCAUUACUCUUAAUCGAGGAAGUCCCUUCGGGGACAGGAAGACAGGUGG